CACAAUCCUUGGGAACUUUGAGACUUGAAUGGUUAAUCUCUCAGGCGAAAUUAUCACCGCAACGACUGUUUACAAAUAAAUCGAUGCAAAUGUUAAAAACGUGUUGGCAAGCUGGAUGAGCAGGCAAACGCACAUAAGGGUCCCCAGAUGCAGCGAAUGAACAGGUUUUCCUCGUAAAAAUGAUGGAGGUGAAGGUGGGGAUAGGGGUGCUCUCCUCACUCCGGAAUCCGAAGCGGGGGAGAGCUGGAUAAACCGCCGAGAUGACCUGCAGCGCUUCCACAGUGGAGGACCAAGGCCUCGGCUCAGACAUGGCCUGCUCCGCUCUUUCCCUAGGCUCCUCUGCAACAUCAGGAAACCGAGGCCUGCGCUCUCCGUUUCCUGAGGAGACUCCCUGGAACCUUCAAGAACCCCCCCGACAGCCCCCAGGAUACCCGAUCUGAAUGGUUUCCUACCAAGAAAGACCCCGAAGACCUGCAGUUCUGUCCAGAAACGAGUUUUAAGGGUCACUUGAAAUCGAGCCGCUGCGAGGGUGGUGCUUUAGGGAGCAGAGU
rnacentral:lncRNA from 1 species